rnacentral:rRNA from 1 species
UUUAUGGAGAGUUUGAUCCUGGCUCAGGAUGAACGCUGGCGGCGUGCCUAAUACAUGCAAGUCGAGCGAACGGACGAGAAGCUUGCUUCUCUGAUGUUAGCGGCGGACGGGUGAGUAACACGUGGAUAACCUACCUAUAAGACUGGGAUAACUUCGGGAAACCGGAGCUAAUACCGGAUAAUAUUUUGAACCGCAUGGUUCAAAAGUGAAAGACGGUCUUGCUGUCACUUAUAGAUGGAUCCGCGCUGCAUUAGCUAGUUGGUAAGGUAACGGCUUACCAAGGCAACGAUGCAUAGCCGACCUGAGAGGGUGAUCGGCCACACUGGAACUGAGACACGGUCCAGACUCCUACGGGAGGCAGCAGUAGGGAAUCUUCCGCAAUGGGCGAAAGCCUGACGGAGCAACGCCGCGUGAGUGAUGAAGGUCUUCGGAUCGUAAAACUCUGUUAUUAGGGAAGAACAUAUGUGUAAGUAACUGUGCACAUCUUGACGGUACCUAAUCAGAAAGCCACGGCUAACUACGUGCCAGCAGCCGCGGUAAUACGUAGGUGGCAAGCGUUAUCCGGAAUUAUUGGGCGUAAAGCGCGCGUAGGCGGUUUUUUAAGUCUGAUGUGAAAGCCCACGGCUCAACCGUGGAGGGUCAUUGGAAACUGGAAAACUUGAGUGCAGAAGAGGAAAGUGGAAUUCCAUGUGUAGCGGUGAAAUGCGCAGAGAUAUGGAGGAACACCAGUGGCGAAGGCGACUUUCUGGUCUGUAACUGACGCUGAUGUGCGAAAGCGUGGGGAUCAAACAGGAUUAGAUACCCUGGUAGUCCACGCCGUAAACGAUGAGUGCUAAGUGUUAGGGGGUUUCCGCCCCUUAGUGCUGCAGCUAACGCAUUAAGCACUCCGCCUGGGGAGUACGACCGCAAGGUUGAAACUCAAAGGAAUUGACGGGGACCCGCACAAGCGGUGGAGCAUGUGGUUUAAUUCGAAGCAACGCGAAGAACCUUACCAAAUCUUGACAUCCUUUGACAACUCUAGAGAUAGAGCCUUCCCCUUCGGGGGACAAAGUGACAGGUGGUGCAUGGUUGUCGUCAGCUCGUGUCGUGAGAUGUUGGGUUAAGUCCCGCAACGAGCGCAACCCUUAAGCUUAGUUGCCAUCAUUAAGUUGGGCACUCUAAGUUGACUGCCGGUGACAAACCGGAGGAAGGUGGGGAUGACGUCAAAUCAUCAUGCCCCUUAUGAUUUGGGCUACACACGUGCUACAAUGGACAAUACAAAGGGCAGCGAAACCGCGAGGUCAAGCAAAUCCCAUAAAGUUGUUCUCAGUUCGGAUUGUAGUCUGCAACUCGACUACAUGAAGCUGGAAUCGCUAGUAAUCGUAGAUCAGCAUGCUACGGUGAAUACGUUCCCGGGUCUUGUACACACCGCCCGUCACACCACGAGAGUUUGUAACACCCGAAGCCGGUGGAGUAACCUUUUAGGAGCUAGCCGUCGAAGGUGGGACAAAUGAUUGGGGUGAAGUCGUAACAAGGUAGCCGUAUCGGAAGGUGCGGCUGGAUCACCUCCUUUCUA